UCAGGUGGUUAUGGCACGAAGGUUCCACCUCUUCCCAUUCCGAACAGAGAAGUUAAGCUUCGUCACGCCGAUGGUACUGCAUAUUGUGGGAGAGUAGGUAGCCGCCGUUU
rnacentral:rRNA from 1 species